GCUGGGUGUGGUGGUGUGCACCUGUAGUCCCAGCUACUUGAGAAGCUGAGGUGGGAGGAUCACUUGAGCCCAGGAAUUCAAGGCUGCAGUGAGCUAUGAUCACACUACUGCACUUCAGCCUGGGUGACAAAGUGAGACCUUGUCUCUU
rnacentral:SRP_RNA from 2 species